UACGUAGGGGGCAAGCGUUGUCCGGAUUUAUUGGGCGUAAAGAGCGUGUAGGCGGCCUGAAAGGUCAGCUGUGAAAACUCGAGGCUCAACCUCGAGACGUCGGUUGAAACCAUCUGGCUAGAGUCCGGAAGAGGAGUGUGGAAUUCCCGGUGUAGCGGUGAAAAUGCGCAGAUAUCGGGGAAGAACACCCCGUGGCGAAGGCGGCACUCUGGGACGGUACUGACGCUGAGACGCGAAAAGCGUGGGGGAGCGAACAGG
rnacentral:rRNA from 1 species